UCAAUUAGUUACGUAAGUAAAAAACAGCAUGCGAACUUUUCUACUGGUUCGUUAUUUUCUUACUUAGCAAAGUCCCAGCGCUAACUAGCUGCCUAAUGCUAAUGUUAGCUCUUAACACAGUAUUUAACGAUGCAUUGUAGCGGAGCUUCAUCCUCCUUUGUUGUCAAGUUAAACUGCUCUUAAACAACAGAAACAACCUACAUUUUGUAUGGCGGUGGCUCCCGCCUCGAUGGCGGAUAAGAUCAUAGUCCUUGAUGAUGACGACGAGGAGAUUCCUCAACCCUCCCGCGCUGCCUCCACCUCGUCCUCUGAGCAUCACGCCAAAAAUGUGUCCUCACUCAAAUUGCCGCAGCCGGCCCCCACCCACAUUACCCAGUCACCCUUUGCCUCAGCGAAGAAGCAAACCCAUGUUCUCCAGGCAGAGAAUGAGAGGUUGUUCACUGAGUUUGUGGAGCACUGCUCGGCUGUCACGCAGGACUGCCCCGAGGUCUUGACCUUCCUACAAGCAAAACAUGCCAAGGCCUCGCCCGACUACCUGUCAUCCGUGGAGUUCAGGAACACCCUGGGACGAUGUCUGACUCGCGCUCAGGCCAACCGCUCGAAAACAUUUGUGUACAUCAAUGAGCUGUGCACGGUACUCAGGCAGCAUACUGCCAAGAAGAGGCAGAUCCUCACCAAGGUUGAAUCUGGACCUUCUACCUCAUCAUCAAAUGAUCUCCAAUCUACCUCUGUUGUCCUCAAAAGUAAAGAGAAGACUAAAGGUAAGACGGAUGAGGCGGAGGACGGGGGGAAACCGGCUGCUGGAGAUGAGCAACCUUCCACCUCAGGGCUGCGGGAGGACAAUAAGCGGGAGGAACAAGAAGCGGAGAGAAUUGCAAAGAGGGCAUCCAGGAAACAGAUAGCGUACCUGGAGAACCUCCUGAAGGUGUACAACGAUGAGAUCUGCCGCCUGCAGCAGACUGAGCUGAGUUUAGACGACCUGGGAGCUGAGGACUCUUUAUACAUCCAGGAGCACAAGCUCAAACGCAAGAUGAUGAAAAUUUAUGAAAAGCUGUGUGAGCUGAAGGACUGCGGCACACUGACGGGCCGAGUCAUUGAGCAGAGGAUCCCCUACAAAAGCACUCGGUAUCCUGAGAUCAACAGAAGGAUCGAGCGUUUCAUAAACAGUCCCGAGGCACAGAGGAACCCUCCGGAUUACCAAGACAUCCUCCAGCAGGUGCUGCGCGCCAACGAACGCCACAACCUGUGCUUGAGCAGAAAGCAGCUGAGGCAGAUGGCCCAGGACGCCUUCAGAGAGACCGGGAGCUGCAUCCAGAAUAGACGUCACCUGGACCUCGUGUACAACUUUGGUUCGCAUCUCACCGACCACUACAGACCUGCACAAGACCCAGCUCUGUCAGACCCCUCACUGCAGAGGAAGCUGCGGACGAACAGAGAAGUGGCUCUAACCCGCCUGGAGGAGGUCAUCACCAAGUACGCUGUGAAACAAGAGGACACAGAGGAGCAGGAGAGGAGCAAACGACUGGAGAAAGACGGCAAGAAGAAAGAGGGCAACAAAUCUGAAAAGGAAGAAAGAACGAAAGAGGUGAAUGGAGUGGCAGAGGAGGAUGAAGAAAUUGAGGCGGAAGAGGAGGAGGAGGAGGAGGAAGAUGAUGAUGAAGAAGAAGAUGAAUCAUCAGAUCCAGACAUAGAGGAGGAGAUCCAGGCCAGCACGCAGCAGGGUGGACCAGACGAUGAUGAGAACGGGGAAGAGAACGGGGAAGAGAACGGUAACGAGGCGGAGCAAACGGUGGAUGGCGCCAACAAGGAGGAUCAGACAGACGAGAUGUUGGGAAGCGUUAAAGAUGAGGAAGAAGAGCCAGUCACAAGUGGAAUCAGUCCUCUUUCUGAUGACAGCAAGUCCCAAAUCUCUCUGUCGGACAUCCCCUCCCCGAGAGACAGCCCCAGCCAAUCGGAGCCCAUGCAGACUGAUGACGACAGGCCGUUGUCUAAUGGUGACCUUGCAGGGUCAGAGGAGCCUGUGGAUUCCUCCAAUCAUGUGUCAUUGGUGUUGGUAAGCACCACCAAGGACCCUGGAGACGUCUCCCCAGCCUCAACCAAUGGGGUGUCGUUACCCCUGCCACCAGCAGUGAUCUUAAAAAAAUGUGACACUCAGACCACCACUGGCACGUCGCCACCGCCGAGCCCCAAAGCUACGAGGAGCCGCAAGAGGAAGAGGGAGGAGAAAACAUCAGAGAACUCCCAAAAUGUGAAGCACGCAAUCACCCAGGACAGUGAGGUAGAGAUCCCUCUGGACAUGGGCGUUUUCAGCUGCAACUCUCCACAUCAGGCCGAGUCCAGCCGAGCAGACACUCCCACCCAGGACCUGGUCAGCAGCUCGCAGUCAACGCCGCCUCCCAAGAAAAACAAGGUCAACGUGGCGACCCAGUGCGACCCGGAUGAGAUCAUCGUCUUGUCAGACUCAGAAUGACCUUUCACCUCUGACCUCCCACUGGGGGAAUCUUCCACUGCUCACCUGUAUCUUGGAACGCCAACGUGAACAGGACGUGUUUUUUGGGAAGAACCAAAGUUCUGGGAAACGGCCUCUUCUUCUUCUUCUUCUGCUGCUGCUGCUGCUGCUGCUGCUGCUGCUGGUGGUGCUUGUGCGUGCACCAGAGAAUACAGUUUUCAUUUUCUGUGUGAAACAUCAGCUGGUGUCGACCUCGGCUGUCUCGGCAGCAGAGACGUCAUCUGAAUCUUUUGGAUGAUGCAUGCAGUCAAACUCGUGUUUCCCGCCUCUCAGUGCAACACUUCUAACACCUCUGUGGUACCAGUUGGUGGCAGCAUUGAAAUGAGUUUUUGUUUUUUUUUUUUCUUCUGCUCUGAACACAGAGCUAAAAUCACUUCCUUCGGGAAGACUGUCCCUUGACUUGAACCCUGAACUUUAGUUAGUGUGCUUUAGGUAAGAAACCAGUGCCUGAAAACAUGAACUGUGCAGUCGGACAUUUGACCCAG